AAUUAUUGUGCAAUCUUUGCCAAUCAAAGAAGCUUCUUGAAAAACGUGUCAAAUUAAAACUUUUGUAUUAAUUAUUAAACUUUAUAAUAUAAUAAACUAUUUACAUAUAUCGGGAUCCCGUUUUCAAACUUUGUAAAGUUAACUUUUCAAAAUAUACAUUUAUUACAGGUCGCACAGCGACUACCAAAAUACAAAUCCCCAGAUGUCCCGAGACCGAACACUCCAGGUCGCGCUGCUUUGACAUGUACAAUCUCACCCGAGCUCAGGUACCCCCAAGUGACCGAGCAAGCUUUAGACUCAAAUUGACCAGAGUAUGCCAUACUAAUCUGUUUGGACCCUGUACUUAGGUGGGUCUGUUUGUACACAUGUAGGAAGCUCCUUGACUUUAGAAAUAAAUCACUAAAAUUUUGCAAGCAAUCAUUUAUAAAAUGACACAAUUUGAAUGAUAAUUAAUUACUUUAUUCAUUUAUAAUGUAACUUAUAUUUAUUAAAUAAUAAAAAGCUAUUACAUGAUUUGUUCGGAUCUUAGCUAAAAAAUAGAAACUCUUAAAGGAUAAACUCUGUCCAGAAGACAUUACUGAAGAGUAAUGCUUGUUAAAACAAUUUUUUGCUUUAGAAGUGGUCAUUGAGACCUUAGCACUAAGGCUUUUCCAAACCAUUGAAUGAUAAAUGUUCAAAAGGCCAUCACUUAAUAAUGAUGUUUGAGCAUUAUGAAAUUUUGUGUUCUUCAGACUUUUGUAUUUGUACGCAUUGGCUUAACUCACUCCUAAGCUCUCUAGACACUGCAAAGAAGACAUAAUAAAAACUGCCUGGUAUGAGCUGUACAAGGGAACGAGAAUAAAUGAAGUUUUCCGAAAAAACCUGCUAGUAGUAUUUUCUCAGAUGUUUACCGUUCCAAUACCGAGUAACUAGAACCAACUCUAUGUUUUCAUCAUACGACCCAAUUUGUAUGCUUCUGAUUUUGUAACUUCAGUUACUUUGUAUGUCCCUUCCCCAUUUGGUCCGAGCACACCUUUCGCACUAUCUUUAGUGUUAAGGAACACUCUUCCAAGUAUCAUAUCUCUCACAAAAAAAUUCCUUUCUCUCACAUGCUUGCUGAAUUACCUAACUACUUUUUGUUGAUAAGCUUGUAGCUUUAAGUUUGCUAGAUCUCUUCAUUCUUCAAUUUCAUCUAAUGACUCUAUUAAGAGAUUGUGGUUGGCCUCCUAAUCAUAGGUUAAUCUUCUGUGGGAUGAAGGCUGCAGUUCUACGGGCAACAUUGCUUCAUAGCCAUAGACUAAUGCGAAAGGAGUUUGCCCGGUUGCCAUCCAUUUAUACGACCAGAGUAUCUCAGAAAUCAGUGAACAUUUGGCUGUCAAAUUUUUUUCCCUUGUCUGACAUAAUUUUUUGAAGAAAUCUGUACCAACGUAUGAUGUUUUUCACCACGAAGUCUAAAACUUUAUUGGAAGUUAUAGUGGCUAGUAGUAGGGCUUCUAUCCAUUUUGUUAUAUAAUCAACAGCUACAACUGCAUACUGCACACCGCCUUUUUCCUUUGGGAGUUGUCCGAUCAAGUCUAUUCCCCAUACAAUAAAUGGCCAUGGACUUUGUAUUUGGAUCAAUUCAUUGGGCGGAGCUCUGGGCACCCUAGAAAUCUUUGGCACUUGUCAUAUGUCUUCACAUAUACUUUUGAAUCCUCAAUCAUAGUCGGCCAAAAACAAACUCUGCCCCCAGCUAGGUUGCUAUAGAACCCUUCAUGAACUUAAGUAAGAAGUCGUGCAACUUUAAUAUGAUUGUUAUGCGAAUCAUGCAAUUUGUUUUCAUUUUACAAUUAUUUGUUGGUCAUCUAUAAUUGGUAUCUAUGAAUUCAAAUCAAAAUUUUGAAAAGUGAGAUUUUGAAUAUGCUUGAU